GCCCCCGUAGCUCAGCAGGAUAGAGCAACUGAUUCCUAAUCAGUAGGUCACGUGUUCGAAUCACGUCGGGGGUACGA
rnacentral:tRNA from 1 species